rnacentral:rRNA from 1 species
UUGAUCAUGGCUCAGAUUGAACGCUGGCUGGCAGGCCUAACACAUGCAAGUCGAGCGGCAGCACAAGUGAGUUUACUCAUGAGGUGGCGAGCGGCGGACGGGUGAGUAAUGCCUAGGGAUCUGCCCAGUCGAGGGGGAUAACAGUUGGAAACGACUGCUAAUACCGCAUACGCCCUACGGGGGAAAGAGGGGGACCUUCGGGCCUCUCGCGAUUGGAUGAACCUAGGUGGGAUUAGCUAGUUGGUGAGGUAAUGGCUCACCAAGGCGACGAUCCCUAGCUGUUCUGAGAGGAUGAUCAGCCACACUGGGACUGAGACACGGCCCAGACUCCUACGGGAGGCAGCCAGUGGGGAACUACUUGCACAAUGGGGG